GCGGGGUUCGCAUAAUCUGGUAGUGCGCUGGUCUCGAAAACCAGUUCCCGAAAGGGUAUAUGGGUUCAAAUCCCAUACCCCGCG
rnacentral:tRNA from 1 species